AUUCCUACGGGACGCAGCAGUGGGGAAUAUUGCACAAUGGGCGAAAGCCUGAUGCAGCAACGCCGCGUGAAGGAAGAAGGGUUUCGGCUCGUAAACUUCUAUUAACAGGGACGAAAGAAAUGACGGUACCUGAAUAAGAAGCCCCGGCUAACUACGUGCCAGCAGCCGCGGUAAUACGUAGGGGGCAAGCGUUAUCCGGAAUUACUGGGUGUAAAGGGUGAGUAGGCGGCAUGGUAAGCCAGAUGUGAAAGCAUUGGGCUUAACCCGAGGGUUGCCUU
rnacentral:rRNA from 1 species